rnacentral:rRNA from 1 species
CCUACGUGUGGCAGCAGUGAGGAAUAUUGGUCAAUGGACGAGAGUCUGAACCAGCCAAGCCGCGUGAAGGAUGACUGCCCUAUGGAUUGUAAACUUCUUUUGUAUGGGAAUAAAAUGUUCCUCGUGUGGUAUUUUGUAUGUACCAUAUGCAUAAGGAUCGGCUAACUCCGGGCCAGCAGCCGCGGUAAUACGGAGGAUACGGGCGUUAUCCGGAUUUCUUGGGUUUAACGGGGGCGUAGGGGGAUUGUUAAGUCAGUUGUGAAAGUUUGCGGCUCAACCGUACAAUUGCAGUUGAAACCGGCAGUCUGGAGAACAGUAGAGGUGGGCGGAAUUCGUGGGGUAGCGGUGAAAUGCUUAGAUAUUACGAAGAACUCCGAUUGCGAAGGCAGUUCACUGGACUGCAACUGACACUGAGGCUCGAAAGUGUGGGUAUCAAACAGGAUUAGAUACCCGGGUAGUC